GUGAAUCAUCGAAUCUUUGAACGCACAUUGCGCCCCUUGGUAUUCCGAGGGGCAUGCCUGUUCGAGCGUCAUUACACCCCUCAAGCUUCGGCUUGGUAUUGGGCUUCGUCCUGUUUCCUUUUUUGGGCGAGACGUGCCUGAAACUCAUAGGCAGUGAAUUUCAAUUUCCUAGCGUAGUCAAUUCUUUUACUCGCUCGAAAUUAUUGUCAUUCACCCGCCGAAUGAACAACUUUUUUUAACCAAAGUUUGACCUCGGAUCAGGUAGGGAUACCCGCUGAACUUAAGCAUAUCAAUAAGCGG
rnacentral:misc_RNA from 1 species